AGAGUUUGAUCCUGGCUCAGAAUCAACGCUGGCGGCGUGCCUAACACAUGCAAGUCGAACGCGAAAGCCCCGCAAGGGGUAAGUAGAGUGGCAAACGGGUGAGUAACACGUGGGUGACCUGCCUUCGAGUGGGGGAUAACGUCCCGAAAGGGACGCUAAUACCGCAUAACAUCCUGCUCUUGGACGAGUGGAGAUCAAAGCCGGGGAUCGCAAGACCUGGCACUUGAAGAGGGGCCCGCGCCUGAUUAGCUAGUUGGUGGGGUAAUGGCCUACCAAGGCUACGAUCAGUAUCCGGCCUGAGAGGGCGGACGGACACACUGGGACUGAGACACGGCCCAGACUCCUACGGGAGGCAGCAGUGGGGAAUUGUUCGCAAUGGCGCAAGCCUGACGACGCAACGCCGCGUGGAGGAUGAAGAUCUUCGGGUCGUAAACUCCUGUCGAGCGGGAAGAAACUCACGAGGGUGAAUAAUCCUCGUGGCUGACG
rnacentral:rRNA from 1 species